rnacentral:rRNA from 1 species
GACGAACGCUGGCGGCGUGCCUAAUACAUGCAAGUCGAACGCUUCUUUCCUCCCGAGUGCUUGCACUCAAUUGGAAAGCGGAGUGGCGGACGGGUGAGUAACACGUGGGUAACCUACCCAUCAGAGGGGGAUAACACUUGGAAACAGGUGCUAAUACCGCAUAACAGUUUAUGCCGCAUGGCAUAAGAGUGAAAAGCGCUUUCGGGUGUCGUUGAUGGAUGGACCCGCGGUGCAUUAGCUAGUUGGUGAGGUAACGGCUCACCAAGGCCACGAUGCAUAGCCGACCUGAGAGGGUGGUCGGCCACACUGGGACUGAGACACGGCCCAGACUCCUACGGGAGGCAGCAGUAGGGAAUCUUCGGCAAUGGACGAAAGUCUGACCGAGCAACGCCGCGUGAGUGAAGAAGGUUUUCGGAUCGUAAAACUCCGUUGUUAGAGAAGAACAAGGACGUUAGUAACUGAACGUCUCCUGACGGUAUCUAACCAGAAAGCCACGGCUAACUACGUG